CAAGGUCGCACUAACAGCUCUUGCUAACUCCUGUUCCAGGCUGUUUAUCUGGGCCUCCAAGUACCCUGCUUGCGCCUGGAGGUCUCUCACCCCCAGGUCCUGCUCAAAGCUGUGCACUUGGGCCCCCAGGCAUGCGGCUUGCUCCGGAAGGUCCCUUACCUGUGGCACUGAGCAUGUACUUCCUGCAGUGCAGUUAGAAAUGCCCAUCCGACUCUGCUUGCAAAGUUCCUUUAUUUAUAGGCACAGCUGCUUAAAGACUGUUACCGGAAAGGAAUCCUGAUCCAGACGCCAAGAGAGGGUUCUUGGACUCAUGCAAGAAAGACUUCAGAAUACGAGUUUUGAAUUUUUGAAUUGCUGUUAAAACUUUCAUCAUGAACACUGAAGUGAGUGAAAAGAGACUUUUGCAGUCAUUUUUUUGCUGGCUGCAGAUGACAGUGACACCCUGGGAGUUGAGAAAUGCUUGUAAGAUGGAAGGAGGCUGUGUCCCUGAAUGAUCACCUGGAAGAGAGCCACCUUAGCCAAUGAAACUCCUGCUAUGAAUGUUUGCUGAGCAAGAAAUAUACUUACUGCUUUAUAUGCCUUUGAAGCUAUAGGUUCAUAUUGUUACCACAAUUUAAAGUGCUAUAAUAAAAAGAGUUCAGGAAGCAGGCACAUGGAAGCAAUAAGAGCAACAAACAUUUACACAGGACAGAGAUCAUGGAAGUUGGGCCCGACUGGAUGAGAUUUGGGGGUCUUUGGAAGUGGAGAAUGUGUUUGCCCUGGGGAAGAGAGGUGAUGUCUAGGAGACCUCUUCACUCAGGGCAAGCUCUAUGACCUGCUUUGACUCCAGAAUGUGGUAGAAGUGGCAUCACAUAAAUUGCAGAGCCUAGGCUUCAAGAGACCUUGCAACUUGCCUCUCACUGACUUGAAGUGCUCCCAUCAGAGCAUCUUGUAAGGAGCAGGUGGAGCAUGUGGACAAGCCAUCCCCACCAGCCCCUGAGACAUGUGAGAGAGGCCAGAACAGGCCAUCCGGACCCCACUGUGCUGGUGGAUGAGACAGCAGAAGGAAUAUCAACCUACCAACAGAAUCCUGAGAAAUGCUCACUCUUACUUCAAGCUGCUGCAUUUUGAUGUUAUGAAACCAUAAAUAACUUAUGAAGUCAUCUUUGCUGACUUAAAGUUUUCCAUAACUUUAUUAUAACAUAUCAAAAUUAUGAAAAAUGUGAAAAGUAGAAA
rnacentral:lncRNA from 1 species